rnacentral:rRNA from 1 species
CUACGGGGGGCAGCAGUGGGGAAUAUUGCACAAUGGAGGAAACUCUGAUGCAGCAACGCCGCGUGGAGGAUGACACUUUUCGGAGCGUAAACUCCUUUUAUAUAGGAAGAUAAUGACGGUACUAUAUGAAUAAGCACCGGCUAACUCCGUGCCAGCAGCCGCGGUAAUACGGAGGGUGCAAGCGUUACUCGGAAUCACUGGGCGUAAAGAGCGUGUAGGCGGGUUAAUAAGUCAGAAGUGAAAUCCUAUGGCUCAACCAUAGAACUGCUUUUGAAACUGUUAACCUAGAAUAUGGGAGAGGUAGAUGGAAUUUCUGGUGUAGGGGUAAAAUCCGUAGAGAUCAGAAGGAAUACCGAUUGCGAAGGCGAUCUACUGGAACAUUAUUGACGCUGAGACGCGAAAGCGUGGGGAGCAAACAGGAUUAGAUACCCGAGUAGUC